rnacentral:rRNA from 1 species
GACGAACGCUGGCGGCGUGCCUAAUACAUGCAAGUAGGACGCAGUUGCGAACGGGUGAGUAACGCGUAGGUAACUACCUAUUAGAGGGGGAUAACUAUUGGAAACGAUAGCUAAUACCGCAUACUAGUAGAUGGACCUGCGUUGUAUUAGCUAGUAGGUAGGGUAAUGGGCUACCUAGGUAAAGUGACAUAGCCGAGCCGGGAGGGUGAUCGGGCACACUGGGACUUGAGCAAGGCCCAGACCCCCUCGGGGGGCAGCAGUAGGGAAACUUCGGCAAUGGGGGGAACCCUGACCGAACAACGCCGCGUGAGUGAAGAAGGUUUUCGGGGCGUAAAGCUCUGUUGUUAAGGAAGCGGUACUUAACCAAAAAGGGACGGCUAACUACGUGCCAGCAGCCGCGGUAAUUC